GGCCCAUCAAUGUGUUUUUAUUAUACCUAACGUUUUGUGUGUGUAGUAAAACAAGCCUAUAUUGUCUCAGAAUAGGAUUUUUUUUUGUUUCGAGGCUUAGAACCUAAGGAUAAUACCUGUACAACUUGAGUCGCAUAAUAACAUAAAAAGAAGAUGUAAUAAAACAAGCCUAUAUUGUCAUAGAAUAUGAUAUAUGUUCUGUUCGAUUCUAAGAAACUAAUAAAAAA
rnacentral:lncRNA from 1 species